UCACGUUCACAACAUCACUUAUCGCGAGAUCUGGUCAUUCUCCUGAAUGCUGUUGAAGAGAGAAGAAGGUCGUCAGCCAUUCUAGUCAGUUUCUCCUCAAAGUUUGGACAUUUGACUAGAAUACAACUUUGAUUCAGAGCAGAAUUCAAUAAUCCUGUGGAUGGACCGCAGCGAGUCCUUUUGCAGUUAUCCAUCAAAAAGAUAUGCAGACAUAAUGGAAUUGGCAUUUACAUUGUAGAGCUUGGACGAAGUUCACACAGGCUCUGCGCAGGAAUUCAUCAAGGACAUGACUGCUGGGAUCACGCUUGUGGAUGACCAAACUGAGCACCAUCAGUCUGCAGUGAUGUGAUCCAGCCAUCCAGUGACAUUAAGGAUGUUGAUAAAGAAAUUGAAGAGGGCAUUCUGAUUGUAACUGAGGAACAGCAAUGUGAUGUGCUUCCCAAGGAAUAACCAACAUUGGUCUCAUUUGGACAUCCUGUCAUCACUGACAUCUCCCAUGUCCCCAAGGCAUAUGGACUCCUAAUGGGUCUGUAUGCAGUGAACAUCCACCACCUCCAGCGCAUUCAAUACACCAUUGAGGCUCUGCAAAAACUUGUGAAGAUCAGCUGCUCCCACCAUGUGCUCGCUACAGCGGCAGGAACUGUAGGUGUGGGGGAGUGAAUGUCCAGCGCUCUCUCCACCCUCAACACCACAAAUAAGGUGUCCUUGAGCAAGGCACAACUUCUCCCUGGGCGCUGCAGCAUAAAUGGCUGCCCACUGCUCUAGGUGUGUGUUCACGGUGUGUGUUCACUGCUGUGUUUGUGCACUUUGGAUGGGUUAAAUGAAGAGCACAAAUGUAUGUCAUGUCACUUUCACUUUUCAGUGUUCAUGAUGUGUCCAUCGGCUCCACAGCACUCUUUCUUAAAAAGUAGUGUUUUUUUUUUUUUUUUUUAUAAGGAAAGGUUCUUUUGUGCCUUUCACUAUAUAGAAUGUACAUUAAAGUUUACAUGUCAUGACUUGGAAUAUGCAUGUUCUCAUGUAAACAAAUGUUUUUUCACCUCUCAUUUUCUUAAACAGUAUGUACACAUUUUCAGUAUGUAGCAUUAUGAUGGGGGACGAGUUUGGAAACUUUCAAGAUCCUUCUGAUGUUAACACCUCUGUCUGGUCAAGUUGUGCUGUGACAUUUAGAAUCUGACUUUAGAUCUUUGUGCUUCCAUGUGCAUUCAUUCCAUUUAUAUCUUAUUAUACAGAAGUACAGUACACUCAUUUUUUGUAACUAAUUGUGAUAUUAUAUACAUAUAUCUUGGUUUCUCAUUUUGACCAUGACUUGCAUUAUGGUGGGGGGAGUGCAUGUGAACUUGUGCAGGGUUAAUAUGCAGAGUUCAACCUUCUGAUUUUCAUAUUGCAUUAUGAAAUUAAAAACAAUCCCUGUGGUUUUGAUCUGAUGAAUUGAAAUGCAACUAUUUGUUUCUCAAUCCCAUGCCAAUGUUAUUUAUUAUACAUCACACUUUCAAGUGUCGGUUCAGAUCUUUAGACGUGUUUGUAUUUUGCAUUUUUUGUUUUGUUUAUCAAUUAUCAGUUGAUGUGUUGACAGCAAAUUGCUUGUUCAAUUUAAAUGUGAAUGAAAGUGUUGUCUCUAUCAUUAAAUAAAUGACAUUAAAAAAGUG